rnacentral:rRNA from 1 species
GACGAACGCUGGCGGCGUGCUUAACACAUGCAAGUCGAACGGAAAGACCCUGCUUUUGUGGGGUGCUCGAGUGGCGAACGGGUGAGUAACACGUGAGUAACCUGCCCUUGACUUUGGGAUAACUUCAGGAAACUGGGGCUAAUACCGGAUCGGAGCUCCUGCUGCAUGGUGGGGGUUGGAAAGUUUCGGCGGUUGGGGAUGGACUCGCGGCUUAUCAGCUUGUUGGUGGGGUAGUGGCUUACCAAGGCUCUGACGGGUAGCCGGCCUGAGAGGGUGACCGGCCACAUUGGGACUGAGAUACGGCCCAGACUCCUACGGGGGGCAGCAGUGGGGAAUAUUGCACAAUGGGCGGAAGCCUGAUGCAGCAACGCCGCGUGCGGGAUGACGGCCUUCGGGUUGUAAACCGCUUUCGCCUGUGACGAAGCGUGAGUGACGGUAAUGGGUAAAGAAGCACCGGCUAACUACGUG